GACGAACGCUGGCGGCGUGCCUAAUACAUGCAAGUUGAGCGCUGAAGGUUGGUACUUGUACCAACUGGAUGAGCAGCGAACGGGUGAGUAACGCGUGGGGAAUCUGCCUUUGAGCGGGGGACAACAUUUGGAAACGAAUGCUAAUACCGCAUAAAAACUUUAAACACAAGUUUUAAGUUUGAAAGAUGCAAUUGCAUCACUCAAAGAUGAUCCCGCGUUGUAUUAGCUAGUUGGUGAGGUAAAGGCUCACCAAGGCGAUGAUACAUAGCCGACCUGAGAGGGGGACGGGCACCAUGGGGGUGGGAAAAGGCCCAAACUUCUUCCGGGAGGCGCAAUAAGGAAACUUCCGGCAAUGGCCGAAAGUCUGACCGGGCAAGGCGGCGGGGGUGAGAAGGUUUUCGGAUCGUAAAACUCUGUUGGUAGAGAAGAACGUUGGUGAGAGUGGAAAGCUCAUCAAGUGACGGUAACUACCCAGAAAGGGACGGCUAACUACGUG
rnacentral:rRNA from 1 species